GGCGAACUGGUGAGUAACACGUGGGAAACCUGCCCAGGAAGCGGGGGAUAACACCUGGAAACAKAUGCUAAUACCGCAUAACAACUUGGACCGCAUGGUCCGAGUUUGAAAGAUGGCUUCGGCUAUCACUUUUGGAUGGYCCCGCGGCUUAUUACCUAUAUGGUGGGGUAACGGCUCACCAUGGCAAUGAUACUUACCCAACCUGAAAGGGUAACCGGCCACAUUGGAACUGAGACACGGCCCAAAUCCCUACGGGAGGCAGCAUUAGGGAAUCUUCCACAAUGGACGAAAGUCUGAUGGAGCAACGCCGCGUGAGUGAAGAAGGGUUUCGGC
rnacentral:rRNA from 2 species